rnacentral:rRNA from 1 species
UACGAAGGGGGCUAGCGUUGCUCGGAAUCACUGGGCGUAAAGGGCGCGUAGGCGGCGUUUUAAGUCGGGGGUGAAAGCCUGUGGCUCAACCACAGAAUGGCCUUCGAUACUGGGACGCUUGAGUAUGGUAGAGGUUGGUGGAACUGCGAGUGUAGAGGUGAAAUUCGUAGAUAUUCGCAAGAACACCAGUGGCGAAGGCGGCCCUCUGGGCCGGGCCUGACGCUGAGACGCGAGGGCGUGGGGAGCGAACGGG